CCUACGGGAGACAGCAGUGAGGAAUAUUGGUCAAUGGCCGGAAGGCUGAACCAGCCAUGCCGCGUGAAGGUCAGUGCCCUAUGGGCGUUAAACUUCUUUUGUGCGGGAGCAAUAAUGGUCACGUGUGGCCAGACGAGAGUACCGUACGAAUAAGCAUAGACUAACUCCGUGCCAGCAGCCGCGGUAAUACGGGGGAUGCAAGCGUUAUCCGGAUUGAUUGGGUUUAAAGGGUGCGUAGGCUGUGAGGGAAGUCAGCGGUGAAAUGCCCCCGCUCAACGGGGUGAAGUGCCAUUGAUACUGCCUUGCUGGAAUGCGGAUGCCGUGGGAGGAAUGUGUGGUGUAGCGGUGAAAUGCAUAGAUAUCACACAGAACACCGAUUGCGAAGGCAUCUCACGAAUCCGCGAUUGACGCUGAUGCACGAAAGCGUGGGUAUCGAACAGGAUUAGAUACCCCUGUAGUC
rnacentral:rRNA from 1 species